AGCAGCCGCGGUAAUUCCAGCUCCAAUAGCGUAUAUUAAAGUUGUUGCAGUUAAAAAGCUCGUAGUUGAAUUUCGGGAUCAAUACGUCGGUCGUGCUUAGGUACGUACUGGCGUAAUUGAUUUCUCCCUUCUGACGAACCAUGAUGUCAUUAACUUGGUGUCAUGGGAAAUCAGGACUGUUACUUUGAAAAAAUUGAGUGUUUAAAGCAGGCUCACGCUUGAAUACAUUAGCAUGGAAUAAUGAAAUAGGACGUUCGAUCCUUAUUUUGUUGGUUUUUAGGAUCAACGUAUGAUUAAUAGGGAUAGUUGGGGGCAUUAGUAUUCAAUUGUCAGAGGUGAAAUUCUUGGAUUUAUUGAAGACUAACUACUGCGAAAGCGUUUGCCAAGGAUUGUUUUCAUUAAUCAAGAACGAAAGUUAGGGGAUUACGGAAGACGAUCAGAUACCGUCGUAGUCUUAACCAUAAACCUAUACGACCGACGUAGGGAUCGGAUUGAUUUAGUUAAUUUUUUAAUGUACUUC
rnacentral:rRNA from 1 species